ACGAGUUAGGGCCUUCUAGGCCCGACCUCCCAACCCUAUGUUUAUUGAACCUCUGUUGCUUCGGCGGACCCGCCUCACGGCCGCCGGAGGACCGCUGCAAGGCGUCCUCUGGCCAGCGUCCGCCGAUGGCCAACCACUUAAACUCUGAAUGAAUCGUGUCAUAUGUCUAAGUCUAUGAUUAAAUUAAAGCA
rnacentral:misc_RNA from 1 species